rnacentral:rRNA from 1 species
CGCGCGGGUGAGUAACACGUAUCCAACCUGCCGUCUACUCUUGGCCAGCCUUCUGAAAGGAAGAUUAAUCCAGGAUGGCAUCAUGAGUUCACAUGUCCGCAUGAUUAAAGGUAUUUUCCGGUAGACGAUGGGGAUGCGUUCCAUUAGAUAGUAGGCGGGGUAACGGCCCACCUAGUCAACGAUGGAUAGGGGUUCUGAGAGGAAGGUCCCCCACAUUGGAACUGAGACACGGUCCAA